rfam:Triticum aestivum genome assembly, contig: Triticum_aestivum_CS42_TGACv1_scaffold_640981_T_5AL-0.127069_2BL-0.118345
CUUGUACUCCCUCCGUCCCAAAAUAAGUGACUCAACUUUGUACUAGCUUUGUACAAAGUUGAGUCACUUAUUUUGGGACGGAGGGAGUAUAUU